rnacentral:rRNA from 1 species
AUUGAACGCUGGCGGCAGGCUUAACACAUGCAAGUCGAGCGGGGUGAUGGUGCUUGCACUAUCACUUAGCGGCGGACGGGUGAGUAAUGCUUAGGAAUCUGCCUAUUAGUGGGGGACAACAUCUCGAAAGGGAUGCUAAUACCGCAUACGUCCUACGGGAGAAAGCAGGGGAUCACUUGUGACCUUGCGCUAAUAGAUGAGCCUAAGUCGGAUUAGCUAGUUGGUGGGGUAAAGGCCUACCAAGGCGACGAUCUGUAGCGGGUCUGAGAGGAUGAUCCGCCACACUGGGACUGGGACACGGCCCAGACUCCUACGGGAGGCAGCAGUGGGGAAUAUUGGACAAUGGGGGGAUCCCUGAUCUAGCCAUGCCGCGUGUGUGAAGAAGGCCUUAUGGUUGUAAAGCACUUUAAGCGAGGAGGAGGCUCUUUUGGUUAAUACCCAAGAUGAGUGGACGUUACUCGCAGAAUAAGCACCGGCUAACUCUGUGCCAGCCGCCGCCGUAA